GAUAUGACGAUUACCUUUGUGGUCCAUAUUAGAUGAAUUGCCAAACAGCAGUGAACAGUUUGUAUUUUGCGAUUGGUAUAUUCCUCGUUCCGCAGCGGCUCCCCCCGUUCUGUGAAAGGCAGACGCGGUCAAACACAAAGGGAGAGAAGAGAUAAGAGGACUGCCUGGUCUUCGUGAAAGCCAAAGAACAAAUAUGGAGUCUGUUUACAUUAAACAGGAGGAGAUUCUGGAAUUGGUACCUAACUGCAUUAAACAGGAGAUGCCUGGACUGGAGCCUGUCCACAUUAAAGAAGAGACUGAACUGCAGCUUGUCCACGUUAAAGAAGAGGAGACUGAACUGGAGACUGUCCACAUUGAAGAAGAGACUGCACUGAAGUCUGUCCACAUUGAAGAGGAGUCUAUUGACUUGUUUAAGGAUUCAAAAAACAUAUCCCGGCCAAAGUCAUCACAUCAAUGUACUGAGUGUGGGAAGAGCUUCAGUCGA